AGCAUGUGUGGGUUACAAGGUCUGUGGGGGUGAGGUUGUGUUAGAGAAUAAGGGUGCAGUUCAGCCUGGGUGAUCUCUGUGAGGUGUGGCUCAGGUGUGGGGGAGGUGGAAGGGGACAGAGUGAGGCUGGGUUGGGACUGUUUUGUGGUGGGUUGGUAUGUACACAGGAUUUGAAGGCCUAGAGUAGCCACAGGUUCGAUGUGGCUGGGGGGAAUCAAUGAACAGGGGGUUGGGACUUCCAAUGGAGUGCCCUCUCUCUCUGUGGAGGAGCAGUGAAGUUCAGCAGAGGGUACACAGCUUGCAGUCAGGUUGGGAUGUUUGGCUUUGGGGUCAGUAUGACUUUGGAUUAAAGGAGGGCUUGCUUUUGCACCAGUGGUUGGCACUGAGCACCACCCCACGCUGACCCAAGGACACCUGCUGGACCCCGACGACGGGACUCAGUGCCCUGCUCUUGCUGGAAGGCUGGCUCUUCAUUCGAAUCCAAUCCAAGAAGGUCCGAGGCUGAGAGACAAUGCAGGUUCAGACUCUGGUGGGAGAGGCAGGCCUGGGCAACAAGGUGCACUGCGUGGUCUUCUCCUCACUCCCCUUGGAGGCUCCCUGCCUUCUACCAUCUCAUCCAUCCCACCCCCAGUGGGGGAGACCUGGGGCUUUGCUGCCCGGGCUCAACUGAGGACCCUGGGCCAGCCCUGCCGGCGUCAGACUCAGGGGGAGCUGGACGCACCCCGCCUCCCUCCGGCUGCCGUCCAGGAUGCCUGGCAGAAGCGGCUGGAAGGCUUUUCUCUGGAGACAGUGACUCCCUGCUCAUCCUAGACUCCUGAAGUAGUCGGUGAUGUGGAGGAAGGGGGAGCCAGAGAGAGUACAGGAUGGCACCCUUGAAUUUACAGGGACUAGACCCCAGUCUUAGAAUGUAGUGUCUCACGAGGAGGCAACUUUUUAGACAAGAUGAAGCCUUCAUCUAUUUAAAUCACAUGUAUUAUUUUCUUUUAUUAUAAACAUCAUACUCUUUUUCAGGAGAGCAAAUUUUAAAAGCACAAAGAAGCAAAAUAACAAUAUAAAAGCUACCUACAACUCCCACCCGGGGGUGACUUGUUAACAUUUUGGUUCAGCUGCUUCCAGGCCCCUGUGUGCUUUUUAAACAUUACAGAUUUACAGUCAUGCAGGAUAGAGGCACUAAAGUGGACUAGUUGGAAUUCUGAGUCUUGAAUAGACUGCCUGGGCUCCAAUCCCAGUCCCAUCACUUGCUGCAUGUUACAACACGUUUGCCAAACUUUAGAACCCACAAUUGACAACAGCAAAACACAACAACAAUAAUAACAUGGUAUCUGCCAGGAUUGAAUGGAAUAAUAUUCAUAAAGCACUUAGAGGAGUGCCCAGUGCAUAAGAGCCACUCAACAGUUGUUAGCUAGUAGUGUUUCUAUUUUGUGUCCUGUCUUUCUUCAUAUAUAUAUGCCAUCGACUUCCUAGGUCCUUAGUAUUCUCUAUCAGGAUUGAAAGGCUGCAUUCUUGUCAUAGGUUAUUCACCCAACGUUUCCUUUAAAUGUAUGUUACAGAUAACACUGUGAUAGACAUUUUUCUGCAUUUUAAGGGGGUUCAAGUUUGAGUUUGAGCUUUUUGGCUUAAGUUUCCUUUUGCAUAAGUUGUUUUGCAUGGGAGAAAAUUAAACUGGAGAAUAUUUAUGUCUAUGAACUUGUGGAGAUCUAGAUUUCUGUUCCUAUAGUUUUGCCUUUUAAAGAAUAUAAAAUGAACGGGAUCAUAUAGUAUGUAGUAUUUUGUGUCUGGCUUCUUUCACUUUGCAUAAUGCAUUUGAGAU
ensembl:lncRNA